CACCAAAUGUUGCAACCUGCCAAUGAUGCAGCUUGCAGCGAAGGGGGCUUUACCACUUGAGAAGUAGCACUGCCCCUUCCCCGCCAGUCUCCUGCCCCGUCUCCGGGACAGGGGCAGGCUCCAGGGAGGCGGGGAGGGGGCAGCCAGGCACAGUCAGAUACAAGUCCCCUACCUGCACGCUUUGUGCUCUGGCUCCGCAGAAAACAAGAAAACUUUUUCAUUAGUGGAAAAAAAGAUGCAGGCGUGUUAAGAAAUAACAGAGGAUUUUAAAGAGGUGACGCCUCAAUUCUUCUCUAAGCCACAAGGAAUCAAACAUGAAUGGACGAAGCCUUUCUUUAUGCCCCAGCUCUAGAGCUCGAUGCAGCUCCUGUUGCUCUGCUCAAAAGCCGAGUUUUCAGCGGACAGGUUUUCCCCGCUGCAGUCCUGCCAUAAGUCCUUUUGUCAGGGGCCAAAAAAUAAGGACUUGACAGUAAGUCCUCUCACACAGGCUUUCACAUUUUGGGCCAGACUAAUUAACAGGAAAUUUCCCAAGGAGACGAACUCUCCGAGACCAGCUUUGCAGGUUGUCCUGGGAUCCAGGUGGGAAUAAGGAAGCGCAGAAGAGGCUGCAGCUCAGAGGAGCAAGGACAAAAGGGGACUCUGUGAAUCCUGUGCAGGUGACAGCCUUGCUGCUACUGGGCUUGGGGACCUGGAGAGGUUUGUGUCCUUUCCCCCACCUCCUGCAUCAGGCAGGGAGUAGGUCUGCAUCCUUCUUCCCGAGAGAGAGACAGGAGCAUCCCCUGGCACUUCAGUGGUGCAGCUGCCCCCGUCUUUGACCUGUGUCACCCCUCAGGAACCUCCCUGAGGUUCAGGCCUCCUUGGAGUGGGAGGCAGCACCCUGCCGCUGCACCCUCUUUACCCCGCAACUCAGUUCCACUGAACAGAAAAUGGCCCUGGCCCGGCACAGGGAAAUCUUUGCAAACGAGCUUCCACAGGUGUCCUGGAGUCCAAGAAAAAGGCAGCAGAGCGCUCAGAGUCCCAACCUCACCUGAAGGACCCAGCUGCUCCUGCACAAAGGAGACCAAGAUCUCCCUCCUUCUCCAGCUUCCCCGUGAUUUGUUUUAUUCCCGUCGGCUGGUGAUUGCCAAUGACAUCACCAAUCAGCUUCAGCUGUAGGAAGGCACGGCUCAUGGAUCUGUGCGGGUUUCAGCUGCAUUGCAGGUCCUGCUGCAGGACCUGCUCCAGCCCACCUGGCACAGAGACGUGUGGCAGAGGACCAUCCAGCCUCCCGCUAGUGGGGAAGUAGAUGGAGACAGCGAGGAAGAGGAGAACGACAGAGCACCAACAGUGACAGCAGCAGUGAGUCCUCCAGCGGGAGCGACAGCAGCAUGGACAAUGGCAAGAGAAAAGGCACCGGGCACAGCAGUCUCAGAAACAACACAGGAC